GACGAACGCUGGCGGCGUGCCUAAUACAUGCAAGUCGAACGCAGUGGGGACGGGUGAGUAACACGUGGGUAACCUCCCAUCAGAGGGGAUAACACUUGGAAACAGGUGCUAAACCGAUACUGAUGGAUGGACCCGCGGUGCAUUAGCUAGUUGGUGAGGUAACGGCUCACCAAGGCCACGAUGCAUAGCGGACCUGGAGAGGUGUUCCGCCACACUGGGACUGAGGCACGGCCCCAACUCCUUCGGGAGGCAGCAGUAGGGAAUGUUCGGCAAUGGGCGGAAGGUUGACCGAGCAACGCCUCGUGAGUGAAGAAGGUUUUCGGAUCGUAAAGCUCUGUUGUUAGAGGAGCGGUAACUAACCAGAAAGGGACGGCUAACUACGUGCCAGCAGCCGCGGUAAUAC
rnacentral:rRNA from 1 species